CAGCAGCCGCGGUAAUACGUAGGUGGCAAGCGUUGUCCGGAAUUAUCGGGCGUAAAGGGCUCGCAGGCGGUUUCUUAAGCCUGAUGUGAAAGCCCCCGGCUCAACCGGGGAGGGUCAUUGGAAACUGGGAAACUUGAGUGCAGAAGAGGAGAGUGGAAUUCCACGUGUAGCGGUGAAAUGCGUAGAGAUGUGGAGGAACACCAGUGGCGAAGGCGACUCUCUGGUCCGUAACUGACGCUGAGGAGCGAAAGCGUGGGGAGCGAACAGGAUUAGAUACCCGUGUAGUCCCUGUCUCUUAUAC
rnacentral:rRNA from 1 species